GAUAAGGGGCCCGCCCGUCCCACCCAGGGUGUGUCACGUGUAGGGGGGAGGUUCAGACGGACAGAAGCAGGGAGCGCCUGGAAGGGGGACGGAAUGAAGACGGAGCCCUGUGACCCUGGAGGCAUCUCUCAAUCAUCCCAGCCCCGCUGAACCGAUGUAUGGUCACCAUAGGUAUACUUGGCCCAGAGAGAGGCCAGGAGACCCUGGAGAGGAGCAAGAGGUGGAAGGAUGGCUCUGAGGAACAGCCCUGGGAAGACUGAAGACUUCGGGCAGAAACAAAUGAAGGGGGUUCUGGAAGGACUUGUUUGAGAAGGAAGGGUGGAUGAUCUGGAUUUCUGAAACUUCUUUCUGCAUCCAGUUACCAUGUAGAUUCAGUUGGAAGAAGUUGCCAAGUAUAAGUCACAGGGUCAACACUCCACUAUUGAGAUUUGGAGGCAGGAGGUGGUGAGAAAGGGGGACGUGGAGAGAGAAGACAGCCUGGGAUGAAACAUGGGAGAACUAAGAAGCUGGGGCUGAAAAGGGGGCAAGAGAGCCACAGAAGGAAGGGUUUGGACUUCCUCUGCCUGAAGCCAUGGGUGUGGGGAAAAGGGAGGAGGGAGGACAUUUCUAUCCCGUGACAAAAGAAAGUCACAGAAUUAUUUUGUUCUCUGCUCUGGAGCGGGUGGGCGCCCGUAUUUACCAGAGGGACUGAGGUCGCUGUAGCAACCACACAUCUGGGCCCCGGAAUCCAGAUGUGCUGUAUCCAGAAGCCAUAGCAGAACGAUGAGGCAAACAUGUCAGGCUCCCCAGUCCCGGCCCCGCAGCUGGGAAGAGGACAGAGGACUGG